AUCCACCCACCUUGGCCUCCCAAAGGUUGACCUUAAAUUUGACUUGUGUGCAAUGGCUGCAAAUAGCAGCCUCCUUGGUAGUGUUUGCAGCCUGUUGCUACUAUGGGUUGCUCUAACAAAAACUUGGAGUCAGCC
rfam:Callithrix jacchus chromosome 5, whole genome shotgun sequence